GACUGUUCCUCCUGUUGGAAAGCUUCUUUGCAGGUGAGGUUAGCGUGGACCUGCCCUGAAAGGACCCUUGGUGUUUCUGAAGGACAGAUGUGGCCAUUCUGACCUCUCCUUCUCAGCUGCAGGGUAUUCCAAGCAAAAUUGUCUGUCCUGGUUGCUGUGGAUUUUUGGUUUUGCUUGCAUCUCACCUUGUCUAGAUACUUUAAUUGCACUACUGGUGUGUCUGUAAGGCUCCCGUUAACAUGUACGUGGGAAACAAAGACAGAUCUGCAGUUCAAGUUCAUUUUCCGGAUUAAAUGUUAUAGCAUUGGUGUUUAAUCUUUCUGACCUUUUCCAUAGUUUCAUGUAUAAAAGAACUGCCUGAGAGCUGGAGAGCUGUGACAUUUCACGCGUGAUUUUUGCCAGUUAGCAGUGAAAAUAAAAAUACAUCUAAAAAAAAUAUAAAUCUUUUUU